rnacentral:lncRNA from 15 species
AAACAAAACAUUAAUGUCAAAUUAUUAAGGUAUUAAUAGUAAUAGAGUAUUUAUUUACCAAAAACGCCCAUUGGGACUUAUGUCACAAAACAAAUAGCCUAUUUGACAUUUAAAAAGAAAAAAACAUCAGAAAUGUGUUCUAUGAGUUCCACUUGGCCUGUGGUAUAUCCCCCAUAAUUUUCCUUCAAGAAAAAUGGGUCUGGGUUCUUAUGGGUUAAGUACAAAUAAUUUUCUUUUUUCUAAAAUAUUUUUAGAAAUUAAACAUAAGUAAGUGUUAGCAUGGGAUGUCAAGGUGUAAUCUUUAAAGGUUGGGGUUCAGAGUUUGGACCUUUCCACACUUUGGAAGAUGGGCAGUGACUUUGCUGUGAUUUCACUCAGAGGGCAUUCGGUCAGUGACCACAAAUGCCCUCUGAGUGAGAGCCUGAGGCAGAGGCACGUAAUAGUCACCACAAUUAGUCAAAUUUCAUUCAUGGCCCUCGUGACGAUCUUGAUUUUGUAUAAAUUGGCAACAGGAGGAAGAAACCUUCUGCAUUUCAACCAUGAGGACUCUGCUGCUGGCCUCUGCUCUCUUUGCAGGACUGUUUGGCUCUUCAGCUGCCGUUCCUGUUGCUGCUCCUGCUCCUGACUAUGGCAUCUGCAAAUCAAUGUGGCUUUUUGACACUCCUUGUGCUGAAAUCAGCAGCAAAAUAGUGCAACAGAUUCAAGCCUUCAGCCUUCAGACUGGCUGUGAUGAAUGUAACUAUACGGUACGCACCACUUUUUAUCUAUCUGUGACCCCACCCAGGUUACAAUGCGGGCCGAUACCCAGAAUAGAAUUAUACCAGCCCUAGACACCAACCAUCUGAGCGUUGACACAAUUUUUAAAGGGUUCAAGAAAAGCGGGAGACGUGCAUUCAGCUCUCCAAUAAUAUUUAUUAAAAAUAAAUUAUACUGGCAAAAGACCUGAAAAAGAAAAGAGAAACCAUAACACUAGUCAAAAUUAGUUUAUUCCACAAUACUAAAAUGGUCAAAACAACCAGUAUAUAAAUAGCAAAUGGCUUCACCAUAACAUAAAAUACAAUAAGAUUAAAUGAUCGCGAGGAAUAGGCAGGACAGGGUACUCACCGCGGGGAGACUAUCACCCAAUCGAAAUCACCUUGUGUGCACACUGAUCACUACAAACACUACAACUUGCACUGCAAGGAAAGUCAAACCUACAACCCAAUGACGUGACCACUACCCUUCAAAUAUACCACACUGCAUGCAAGGAGGGGUGCCUAUCCCACGACUACUCCCCGCAGGUCGUCCCACUGCCUAAUCAAACAAAAGACAGAAAAUACAGUGAGAUUCAGUUGGUUCAGAUUCACAGACAUUCAGGGUCACUACACCCAAUAUAAAAAGUAUUCAACCAUCUACAGAUUAUGUAAGUUGUACAGUCUGUAACACAUUCGCCAACCACCUUGGCGAACUGGCUCAGGCAAAGCAGCAGUCUGGCCUUAAAUCUGCAAUAAGGGGAAAGAAAAACAUAACAAAAGUCAGUCUCAUCAGCUGACAACAACAUACCUCAGAGGGCAUGACCCUCCUACCUUACCAUACUGGUUUCAGUUACCUUGUACAUGUGGGGCUCUGCUAAGAAGCAAUGCAACAGUUGAAAAGCUCUACUCUGGCUUAAAAGGGGAGAUGGAGGAGCUGAGUCUUUGCCUAAAGAGAUUUUAUCAUAUUAGUGAUAUAGCUACGGUUUAAUGAAGCCCCAAAGUUCACUGAGACAUACCUCUUCAGCACAGGGCUACAGAGCAUGCUCCAUCUGGAUCACUCAGGACAGUCACCACAACUAAAUAUACAAAAGAUCUCAUUAGAUUUCUAAUAAGGCAAUAUAACAUUUUCCUCCUCCUCUCUCCCUUACCUGCACGACACAGCAAUCCUGCCACACAACCAGGCCUCAGACAAAGAGGCACUAAUUGCCCUCACCUGUCCUUAUGAAGGCGGGGAGCUCCCUCUGACUCUACCUAACAGGGCGGUGCUUUGGAUGUACAGGCCAGCCCCUCACACUUGGGUUAGGGUUAAAGCAAUAUUAUCAGCAACCUCUGAUGUUCAACAGUACCUUAGGAGUUGCCUCAGCAUAUUGGAUAGAUUUGUGACCCUAGCUCUCACUGUUGCUUGUUGCCUGCAGCAUUGCCCAUAUAAUUGCAGAAUGUAUCACUACCUUAUAAGCUCUACCAACAUCAAUAACGGAG